CCCGUGUAGUGCGGGGCCAGGAGCCGCCUGAUUGUCCAUCUCUCCCUGACUGCCUGCAGUCUGGGGUCAACUUGAAGACAGUGUCACAUGCAGCGCUUCUGGGGACUUGUCGCUCUCAUCAGGCACCUGCGGAAAGCCCGUGAGGCACUGGCCGGAAAAGGAGCAAGAGGGAGGUUCCACAGACCGUGCGUGAGCCGGGCAGUGCGCUUCCUCUAACCAUCUCUGUUCCCUUUAACAAAGACACCAGAUCUGCAAGCAGGCUUCUGUGGACAGUGUUAAGCACUUAAUCAUUUCUGUGUUAACCUUUCUUCCUAUGGGUGUGACCUGUGCUGUGCAUAAAUCAUCAUUUGUAUUUCUUGAAUGUUCUCUAAGACUAACAGUUAUUAAGUCGGUUGUGUAUAUGUGUAACUAAUGUAACUGCCUUUUCAAAUUUCAUUACAAUAAAAAUGACCUAGCGCUGCAACAGUGAAUGGCCCUGGCCAACUUUGUCAUCCGAUUCAGCGUGCAGCGUUGCCCUGGGCGCUUGCUGUGACUUGUCCCACACUGUUUCCUCGGGGCUGCGCGUUCCCCUGACCAGCGAGGGUGCAAAGGACACGUGUGCUAAUGGACAGCCUGUGAGGGCUGCGGCUGCCUUCCAUAGAAGAGAAACGGGAGGAACCAGUAUUGCAGUUCGAGCCCUGCCAGCCGUCAUGGGUAACACAUGGACAUCUUGGCAUUUGGUAGUCGUCUCUCCUCUUCACCCAAGCCUCCUGGAGCGUGGGGAGAAGCUCCAGGAGCCCGUUGGAGGCAACAGCCCUGAUGAAGGGCUCUUGGAGGUCACCACACACGUAGGACAGUCUGCAGCUGCCCCGAGGCUGGAAAGUCCCGGGGCUCUUGUUCCCGUUUGCUCGUCGGCUUGCUUGCCAAAGCUUCUCGGCUGAACUCUGUUCCUCCUCAUUCUACGUGCUGCCAGGGGGGGAUCAGGAGGACCCCAUGGUUCGUGCAUGAAUAGCAGGGCGCUGAGUCAGAAGACAGAGGGUGGCACUGACCGGUGAUCAGCAGACUCCGUGACUCAUCCACACCCGGGAGCAGCUAUCAAUCUCCCCCGCGGCCAUGCUGCACGGGGGGCUCUGUGGUGUGACGGUGGCUCAGAGGUGGCGAGUGGACCUGAGUGCCAAGUCUCACUGCUAAGACCACAAGUCCAGGGUCCUUGUGCCAAUCACGUUGUGAUCCUCGGGUCUGCAGGAGGAAUGAGACAAGCUUCCAAGCUGUCACCAAAUGAUUCUAUGGUAAACGUGUAUCAGUUCUUAGAUUAUAGGAAAGGUGGAAGGACUCACAGAACACAUGUCCGUUCACAAUGCACAGUACAUUCAAAUAAUUGGCUUUCAAUAAUAGUUUCAUGAUUAUGCACUAAAUAUAAAAAUGCAGAAAAAGAAAUAGAUGGGAAUGAACUAUUAUGCAUGACUCAACAGCAUAUAAAUACAGCAUUACUAUGUGAUCCAGAAAUUCACUUCUUGGUGUAGACCCAAAAUUAAAGAAUUAAAAGCAGGGAUUCUUGGGGCUGGUGCUGUGGCACGGUAGGUUAAUCCUCUGCCUGCAACACCAGCAUUCCAUAUGGGCACUGGUUCUAAUCCCAACUGCUUCUCUUCCAAUCCAGUUAUCUGCUAUAGCCUGGGAAAGCAGUAGAAGAUGGCCCAAGUCCUUGGGUCCCUGCACCCACAUGAGAGACUUGGAAGAAGCUCCUGAUUCCUGGCUUCGGAUUGGCUCAGCUCUGGCUGUUGUGGCCAUUUGGGGAGUGAACCAGUGGAUGGAAGACCUCGCUCUCUGCCUCUCACUGUAUAUAACUCUACCUCUCAAAUAAAUAAAUAAAAUCUUUUUUAAAAAAAGCA
rnacentral:lncRNA from 1 species